rnacentral:misc_RNA from 1 species
CACACCCCAAGCUCUGCUUGAUGUUGGACGAUGCCUUGGCCCUUCUGGGCCGGGGCACGUCUGGAACCCGUGGGCGCCCCCGCCGAACCACGAGCGUAGCAAGACGCAAGUCACUCGCUUCUGUCGGUCCCGGUGGAGGUCUGCCUUAAUCCAUUUCUGAA